rnacentral:lncRNA from 1 species
UGAGGUAAUUUUUAUAAUCCGAAACGAAUUCGGAGCAGAAAACGGGAGAAAUUUUGACCCGCCCCGAAUUCUCCUGAAUCCGUCCAGUAAUGAUCUNAUUUAAAAUUUAAAAUUUUGAAUUUAAAAUUUGAGAUUUUAAAUUUCAAAAUUUCAUAUUUCCAAAUUAAAAUUUUAAAUUUAAAAAUAUAUAUUUAAAAAUUUAAAAAUUUAAAUUUAAAUAUAAUAAGAGAAUAAUAUAAUUAUUUUUUAUUUAUAAAAUCUACUAUCUUUUUUAUUCCAUCUUACCUAACCAAACGCUACAAACGCUAUUUUUUUUAUUCCCAGGAAUAACCCAAUUUUCAUCCAAACGCAAAAUUAAUCUAAUCCCCGCUUAUACCUCAAUUUAUACCUAUCCCUGUAAUAGUCACUUUUUGCUUAUCCUCGAACCAAACGAUACCUAAGUGCUUUGUACUUUUAAAAUACAAUAGCUAGACUCCUAAAAUAAUAU